rnacentral:RNase_P_RNA from 1 species
AAAACAGAUCAGACUACCGCGCUACGGCGAGGAAAGUCCGGACACUUAGCCCUCUUCGAGAGGGUCAGGGUAAUGGGUAAUUCCCAUACGUUGUGAAACGCGAGGUGCGAGCAGAGACGCCUUUCUCUGAAAGGAGAAGGUAUCCAGCAAUGGAUAAGUCUUCGUAUAAACUUGGAAUGCUUCUGGCGCAAGUCGGGAGUUUACUCUGAGCGAAGUCGAAGAGUGAAACGGCUAAAUCCUUACUCGAGUGCAAGGUCGUGUCCUUCGCACCGCACGGUGUCUACUCUUUGGAGUGGGUAUGGUGCGGUGUGAGGGAAGAACCGCAAAGAUCCCUGGAGUAAUCCAGGGGCAAGAGAAAUGGUAGUCACCCUACGAGUAAUCGUGGGGACAGAAUCCGGCUUAUCGAUCUGUUUUGUAC